rnacentral:misc_RNA from 1 species
CCGAGUUUACAACUCCCAAACCCAAUGUGAACGUUACCAAACUGUUGCCUCGGCGGGGUCACGCCCCCGGGUGCGUAAAAGCCCCGGAACCAGGCGCCCGCCGGAGGAACCAACCAAACUCUUUCUGUAGUCCCCUCGCGGACGUAUUUCUUACAGCUCUGAGCAAAAAUUCAAAUGAAUCA